GACGAACGCUGGCGGCGUGCUUAAUACAUGCAAGUCGAACGGACAGGCCCUGCUCUUGUUGGUUGGUCGUUAGGCGAACAGGUGAGUAACACGCGUGUAUCCUGUCCUUGUCUUUGGGAUAACUUUUGGAGACACGGGCUAAUAUCGGAUAGAAGCUCUUGCUGCGUGGUGGGGGUUGGAAAGAUUCGGCGGUGGGGGAUGGACUCGCGGCUUAUCAGCUGGAUGGUGGGGUUGUGGCUUACCAAGGCUUUGACGGGUAGCCGGCCUGAGAGGGUGGCCGGCCACAUUGGGACUGAGAUACGGCCCAGACUCCUACGGGAGGCAGCAGUGGGGAAUAUUGCACAAUGGGCGGAAGCCUGAUGCAGCAACGCCGCGUGCGGGAUGACGGCCUUCGGGUUGUAAACCGCUUUCGCCUGUGACGAAGCGUGAGUGACGGUAAUGGGUAAAGAAGCACCGGCUAACUACGUG
rnacentral:rRNA from 1 species